AAAAAAAGAAUAUUAACUUUCAGAAUAUAGAAUAUAUGACAGAUAUAUACAAAGGGAGAGACAAUCGAAUUCUAUUUCAUCCCUUCGUCCAACUUCUCAACUGAUGGAAAGAUUCCUCUGGUUGGGAAUGCGCAUCUCUCGUAUUGCCCCCUUUGGUGGAACGAUGUGGAAAUUUCGUCGAUGAAAAUGAAUCGAAAGAAGCGAUCAGAUUCGAGGACGAGUAACAACUCUACGAACGAAAGUGAGAGUGCCAUCUUGAAAAAAGAAGAA